GUGUUAUAUGAAAGGAGACAAGGUUAGCAUUCCCCUUGAAAAGGAUGCAAGAGUCUCUUGGGCCUAACAACACACGUGUGGUUAAAGCAUUGCCACCCGCUUCCUCGUAGCUAAUCAUGGCUUUUA